UACAGAGGUCUCAAGCGUUGUUCGGAUUCAUUGGGCGUAAAGGGUGCGUAGGUGGCGGGGUAAGUCAGGUGUGAAAUCUCGGGGCUCAACCCCGAAACUGCAUUUGAUACUGCCUUGCUCGAGUACUGGAGAGGAGAUUGGAAUUUACGGUGUAGCAGUGAAAUGCGUAGAUAUCGUAAGGAAGACCAGUGGCGAAGGCGAAUCUCUGGACAGUUACUGACACUGAGGCACGAAGGCCAGGGAGCAAAGCGGG
rnacentral:rRNA from 1 species